AUCGUUUCUCGGCCUUUUGGCUAAGAUCAAGUGUAGUAUCUGUUCUUAUCAGUAUACUCCCUUUUUCCCCCCUCUGUUGAGGUAACUGAGGUUCAGAGAAAUUAAAUAAUAUGCCCAAGGUCUCUCACAGCUGAUACAUGACAAAAUGAAAACCAAACCUUGACCCGUC
ensembl:snRNA U2 U2 spliceosomal RNA